GAUGAACGCUAGCGGCGUGCCUAAUACAUGCAAGUCGAGCGAAUGGAUUAAGAGCUUGCUCUUAUGAAGUUAGCGGCGGACGGGUGAGUAACACGUGGGUAACCUGCCCAUAAGACUGGGAUAACUCCGGGAAACCGGGGCUAAUACCGGAUAACAUUUUGAACCGCAUGGUUCGAAAUUGAAAGGCAGCUUCGGCUGUCACUUAUGGAUGGACCCGCGUCGCAUUAGCUAGUUGGUGAGGUAACGGCUCACCAAGGCAACGAUGCGUAGCCGACCUGAGAGGGUGAUCGGCCACACUGGGACUGAGACACGGCCCAGACUCCUACGGGAGGCAGCAGUAGGGAAUCUUCCGCAAUGGACGAAAGUCUGACGGAGCAACGCCGCGUGAGUGAUGAAGGCUUUCGGGUCGUAAAACUCUGUUGUUAGGGAAGAACAAGUGCUAGUUGAAUAAGCUGGUACCUUGACGGUACCCAACCAGAAAGCCACGGCUAACUACGUGCCAGCCGCCGCCGUAA
rnacentral:rRNA from 1 species